rnacentral:lncRNA from 1 species
UUUCAAUCGUCCAGGGAGCACACGCAAGAUCAUUGGAUCUCCACGACAGCUCGAAAGUGCAGUGCCUACCAGCAAGAAUCCAAACGGUGUCUGGGUCUGACUGAAGUCUGCAGCAGUGCCUGCUGCAACCAAGAGCACUGCUGCACUCUGCUAGGACAAAAUGUGUGAUGGCUUUCGGGUAUCCUGCAAGCCAAGCAUGAAGGCUGUGUUCCAGUGAAAAUGGUGCUAACUGUGCCUUCUUUUGUGGAGGCUGCUGUGAUCACGUGGUGCAAGCCUUGCUGUGGACUAUUUAUGCAUGGUGGGACCAAGUUUUUUUUACUUCUGAUUGCACUCGGGAUUCACGUCAGGUUGACAUGCCCAGCUCACAUCGGUGGCAUUCAAGGCGUUGUCAAUAUUGCUUUUACUUGCAACAAGUGCAAUGGUGUGCUACAAAACUUCCAACGGUUUUGAAACAGUCAGUGAUAGAACUGCUUUAGAUUUCAACCUGUUGCUGCGGCAACCUUGAGUAUGGCCAUUGUACAGAUUCCUUUGAAUGACAGUCCUGAUAAUAACGCAGUGGCAAUGCAAAUCUGGUCAUAUCCACAAAUAUGUGGACUCCUAAGGUCUUCCAGGUUUUGCUGAUGUUGAUGAUCACGACCAGUUUCAAAACAUGGUGCAUGGCAACGGGUGACAGCCAUGAUGUCACUGCGAACUAAUGCUCAAUCCAGUGUUGAUCAGCCUUCUGUUGUUCCUUGUAUCAGCCGUAUUUUGCGCUUUUUAUCAUUUUUGGCCAUGUGGAGUAUGGCAGCCAAAAGUGCUUGAUUGGCAAGUGAAGAAGCCAAUCGCAUUUUUAAUGCAGAAAUGAGGAUAGCAAUGCUGACGAAGAAAGUCUGCACCCAAGCAUGACUGUACUUGAAAGUUUCUUUCUGUUCUCAAGUGUUUGAACUUGCUCAGUCUUGCUUUUUGAUGCACUUAUCCCAGCCACCUUCAAUGCCACGGCCACGGGCACAGUAAGCAAACUGUGUUCGUUUUUGGAAAUAGCUUGUAUCAGAUAUUUACCAUUUGCUAAUCAAUGUUCAAUUGAAAUCGCUCUUUGCAGACACCAAGUCAGUGCUAAGGCAACAUCUUAGAGUAGUCUGUCACGACAGUUACGCACACUAACAAAUCUUAAUGCAGGUAUACUUGUCGGUUUGGUUAAACGGUGCAGGCAGUCUGUUACUACAAUGAGGUCUGCUCUCUUGUUAUUAGUGUGUUGGCUUUGCCUUUUUGCCUGGCAGCUGAACUUGCUGCACAUGUUUGGAGGUGUAUUGCAGUUGUGCUGGCAUGCGAGAGAUUCAAUAAAGACGUGAGCUGUUGGACG